rnacentral:rRNA from 1 species
UACGUAGGGUGCGAGCGUUAAUCGGAAUUACUGGGCGUAAAGCGUGCGCAGGCGGUCUGUUAAGACCGAUGUGAAAUCCCCGGGCUUAACCUGGGAACUGCAUUGGUGACUGGCAGGCUUUGAGUGUGGCAGAGGGGGGUGGAAUUCCACGUGUAGCAGUGAAAUGCGUAGAGAUGUGGAGGAACACCGAUGGCGAAGGCAGCCCCCUGGGCCAAUACUGACGCUCAUGCACGAAAGCGUGGGGAGCAAACAGG